GAUGAUGCCUGUGAUGAACAGCACAGCUGCGACCAACAGCCCCCGUUUCCGGAGGGUGUGUUCAUCAUAGAAGAAGGGGUCAUCCUCAUGAAAACCAGAUGGCUUGAGGGUCUGGGGGUCUGUCUGGACGUCUGUGCUUGGGGAUGGUCUCUCAGAGAGCGUCGUGGUGUCAUCAGUGGGAUGAGCUGCUUUGGUGCUCUUGUGUGUCUCUGGAUCUGUCACUAGAGGCCCAUCCGUUCCUUCCAGUUGCUGGGUCUGGG
rnacentral:misc_RNA from 1 species